AUGCAAGUCGAGCGGAAACGAAGAGGUGCUUGCACCUCUGGCGUCGAGCGGCGGACGGGUGAGUAAUGCUUGGGAAUAUGCCUUAUGGUGGGGGACAACAGUUGGAAACGACUGCUAAUACCGCAUGAUGUCUACGGACCAAAGUGGGGGACCUUCGGGCCUCACGCCAUAAGAUUAGCCCAAGUGGGAUUAGCUAGUUGGUGAGGUAAUGGCUCACCAAGGCUACGAUCCCUAGCUGGUUUGAGAGGAUGAUCAGCCACACUGGGACUGAGACACGGCCCAGACUCCUACGGGAGGCAGCAGUGGGGAAUAUUGCACAAUGGGCGCAAGCCUGAUGCAGCCAUGCCGCGUGUGUGAAGAAGGCCUUCGGGUUGUAAAGCACUUUCAGUAAGGAGGAAAGGUUAAGUGUUAAUAGCACUUAGCUGUGACGUUACUUACAGAAGAAGCACCGGCUAACUCCGUGCCAGCAGCCGCGGUAAUACGGAGGGUGCGAGCGUUAAUCGGAAUUACUGGGCGUAAAGCGUACGCAGGCGGUUUGU
rnacentral:rRNA from 1 species